UUCUCUUUUCCAGCUCCUUAUCCUCCUUACUCUGGCUGCUGUCGUUGCAGCUGACAGCCGUGAGUCCUACGAAUACCUCGCGCCUCAGCGUUCCAAUGAAGCUUCUUCUGAGUCGUACGAAUACCUGCCACCUCAGCAUUCCGAUGAAGCUUCUGCUGAGUCCUUCGAAUCUUCUGAAGCUAAGUACAGCUUCAACUGGGCCGUGAGCGAUGACUCCUCAAGCAACGAGUUCGG